AGCUGACGUGGACCAAGGCGCGGGGAGACGCAGCCUUCCUGUUUUAGCUCUUGUUCUGUAAAUGAGUGUUCUUUCCGUGGUUUUUUGGGGUGACGUGUUCAGCAUUUUGGGGCUGUUUGAUGAUUCGCUGAUUGGUAUGGACCCGAAGGGCAGUACUGAAGUGCCAACUGGUGUUCCCGAGUGUGAGAACGCUGUGAUGCGCCCGCAGAGGAAAGUCCUGUGUAGGAGUGCAGAUCCCAAGAUUUUGUGCACAGUGUUAGAAAUAUUACCCUCUGAAUUUGAAGCAAUGGAAGUUAACAUCAAAUGGGAGAGUUAACAUCACCUGGAAGAAAUUAGCCAUCUGAAGCGUCUAGAUACCCCUGGAUGAACAAAUUAAAUUGACUUUCCAGUAUGACAAGAGUCGAGGACCUGAUCCAGACUUGUCUGCGCCAGUGGGUCCACACUCGGUGAACAGCCUAUCAGAUUGCUUCUCAUCAGUUUAAACUACAAUUGUCAUGGAAUGAUAAUCAUUAUGAGUAAACUGUCUUUUCAUUUCCCAGGUAGCUCAGAAUUAUGAUCAAAUAAUGUUCUCUUUUUGGCAGACUACUUCACUAGAUGAUACAUAGGAAUUUCUUGCUAGAUGUACAUUUCUAGGUGCAUGAUUAAUCUUUCCUUGAUGUUUUUAAUAUCAUUAUUGCUGAUGUGAAAUCUGUAUGGUUUUAUUUAUUUUGAGGCAUUCUCGGUAAUGUUAUCACUGAGAGGAAUAGAUUUAAUAAACUGUUCAUUAUCUCAUGACAUGUGAGAUGGAGUGAAAACAUAGGUAAAAUUGGAUCACAUUUAAGGCUACCUCUGAAAGCAAUACUAAGAUUAUAUUCCUGUGGAAAAAUGGAAGGUGUUUGCAAAUAUCUUGUUUUUCUAUAAAUAGCACUGCAGUUUGCUGGAAAGAUCUCAAAAGCACAAAAUAGAUUAGUUCACUGUUGAAGAAUUUAACUAAAUUUAACUAAAACGACACAUAAAUAUCUGGGAAGGAAAUGUGAAUUUGGUUCAAGGAGAAUGAAGACAGACAAAAGAAUCCUGCAAAGGAUAGCUCCGAUAAUAACAACAGUGCAAAUAAAUGAAAGGAAAUAAGCAGAGUCAGGUCGAAAAGGUUUAGGAAUUUAAGUGAGUUGUUUCCAAAAAGAAUGCUAUGUAAGUGAGCAAGCAAAGGUUCCAGCUGUCCUCGUAGAUUCCAGUUUGUCCUAGUCAGUUUCCGUUGACAUUAUGAGUCUGCUCUUCCCCCAACAUCCUCCCUGGUCGCUUAUCUGGCUGAUCUGCAAUGACUUCCGGCUGAAUUCUAGACCCAGAGCCAACAGCGCCACAAAUUACUCCAUCAGCUCCCACAAUUGCGUAAAGCCAAACUCCUAUAAUAAUUCCUUCAUUCCACAUCGCAUAGCAGUUCUGCUUAUUUCAUGGCGUCCUUACGGAUACUGCCAAAACGGAAACAAAAUUCUAGAGAAUAUUCAUUGAAACGGAAUUGAUGAGUGAAAGUUUAGUUUGUAUUUUGACAGACACAGCCAAAAUAUCUUCCCUGCAUGCUGCACCAAAACGCAAACACAAACACAAAGCCUUUUGUGAGGACAGUUUUGGAAAAAAUGGUAGAACCUCAUUCAGUGCAGGUAUUGUGUGCUGAUAAGAAGGAUAAAUAAUUCUUGCUAGUUAGUUUUCUAGAAUUCC
rnacentral:lncRNA from 1 species